UUGAACGCUGGCGGCAGGCCUAACCCCUGCCAGUCGAACGGUAACAGGAAGCAGCUUGCUGCUUCGCUGACGAGUGGCGGACGGGUGAGUAAUGUCUGGGAAGCUGCCUGAUGGAGGGGGAUAACUACUGGAAACGGUAGCUAAUACCGCAUAAUGUCGCAAGACCAAAGAGGGGGACCUUCGGGCCUCUUGCCAUCGGAUGUGCCCAGAUGGGAUUAGCUUGUUGGUGGGGUAACGGCUCACCAAGGCGACGAUCCCUAGCUGGUCUGAGAGGAUGACCAGCCACACUGGGACUGAGACACGGUCCAGACUCCUACGGGAGGCAGCAGUGGGGAAUAUUGCACAAUGGGCGCAAGCCUGAUGCAGCCAUGCCGCGUGUAUGAAGAAGGCCUUCGGGUUGUAAAAUACUUUCAGCGGGGAGGAAGGGAGUAAAGUUAAUACCUUUGCUCAUUGACGUUACCCGCAGAAGAAGCACCGGCUAACUCCGUG
rnacentral:rRNA from 1 species